AGGUGAGGGGAGAGGAGGGGAGGGGGAGCUUUUGCAGAGGAUUCUCUUCCCAUACCAACCAAACAUUACCUUGAAGGAUCGAAGAAUAACCACAACCCCGAUUUGUUUUUCUGUUGUGGGGGCGAGUCCUUCAAGGGGCAAAAUUGGUAUUUGGAAAAUUGGAAGCCCUUCUUCCUUUCUCGCAGGCGCCUCUCUCGUCUUCGCAGUCGCACUUCUCUGUUCUCCCUCUCAGCCUCGGGUCUCACUCUCGCUGUCUCAAAAACGCAUCACACAGCCUAAGAGACUCAGACUCAGCUCUCGGUCGGCGUCGAUCGGCCUCGCCGCCUUGGCCUUCAUUCAAUUCCACUGUUCUUCAUUCUCCAACUUCUUCAAUGGUGGCAGAGUUGCAGACUGGGAGUGGGAGCUCGAGCUCGAGGUCGUCUUCGUCUUCAUCACUCUUCACUGAGCUCAGAAGCGAUCGACGGUUACAUUCUUCACUCUUCUCUGACCUUCGUUUUCUUCGCCGUUAAAAACAGUAGCGUCGACCGUCAAGUCUUCACCCUUCUCAUUUUCGUCUUAUCCUCCACUGUCAGACUUCUUUCUUACAGCCUAAGGGUCCCAAAUGGUUGCAGAGCAUCCUAGAAGCAUUUGUACCAGACAAACAGUGAUCUUGCUUUUACGGUGGAGAUAUGUUACUUCUAUGUCCAAUUUGUUUCUGAAUCCCAUUAAAUAUCCAAAAUUUAUGUGAAUAUUUGGUAAUGUUUGGAAGAAAAUAAGCAGACAUUAGCUACGUUUUGCUUGUGGAAUUAAUGUAGAUAGUCUUGAAUUUAAGUUUUGUUAUUAAAUGCUGAAGUGAAGCUGGUUGAAGUUCUUUAGAGGAGACUUUACUUGUUACACUAGUGCUGCAUUGAGUUAUCAUGGGCAUUAUGCUAAAAUGGAUGAGAGCAGUGGUUGAAAAAACACCUGCAUAAAUGGUAUACUCUCAUUAGGCUCAAGAUUGGAAUGAGAAUAAUUUCCUUAGGUUGGGGUGUUGAAAAAAUGGGAUGGCAUCCAUCUGUCUGGUCUAUUUCACAGAGCAGACUCUUUAUUUUGCUUUUUGUUUUUUGGUUUCUCCUGUUUUCUGUCAUCAGUUGAGUUUAACUUGGUUCAAUGGUUUUUAUGACAGUCAUUAUUAUUCAUUUUGGAAAAGACAGCCAAUUGCCUAUGUUUAAUAUUGUCAAAUUUUGUGGGAUCUUUGUUGCUGUGCAAGCCAAUUUUCCACCAUCAUUAAUCCCAUAUGCUGCAUUGAGAAUUUGUCAUUCUGAGACAACUGUGGCUCAAAAUGCUUUGGGUAAAAAUUUGAAAUUGUCACCGACCAGCAUGCAAAGUAGAGUUGGAAUUUUUUGGGAUUUAGACAACAAACCACCCAAGUCAUUGCCACCAUAUGAAGCUGCCACUAAGCUGAAAGCUGCUGCAUCUCACUUUGGUGUUGUUAAGCAUAUGGUGGCUUAUGCAAAUCAUCAUACUUUUAGCCAUGUCCCUCAAAAUGUUAGGGAACAAAAAAAAGAAAGGAAAUUAUUGAGUCAUUUAGAGAACAAAGGCAUUAUCAGGCCAGAUGAACCUUAUCUUUGUCGGGUCUGUGGGAGAAAAUUUUAUACAAAUGUGAAGCUUAUUAAUCAUUUUAAGCAAAUUCAUGAGCGUGAGCAUAUAAAAAGAUUGAACACGAUAGAGUCAGCAAAGGGGAAUAGGAGGGUGAAGUUGGUUGCCAAGUAUUCAAUGAAAAUGGAGAAGUAUAAGAAUGCAGCAAGGAGCAUUUUGACUCCUAAAGUGGGUUAUGGUUUGGCAGAUGAGAUAAAACAUGCAGGGUUUUGGGUUCGGACUGUCUUGGAUAAGCCACAAGCUGCAGAUAUUGCAUUGAAAGGUCACAUGGUAGAUGUGAUGGAUAAUAUGAAGGUUGAGUGUGUGGUCCUUGUUUCAGAUGAUUCUGAUUUUGUUGAUGUAUUAAAGGAGGCAAAAUUACGAUGUCUCAAGAUAGUUGUCGUUGGAGAUGCUAAUAAUGGAACCUUGAAGAGGACUGCUGAUGCUGCCUUUUCUUGGGAGGAAAUUCUGAUGGGAAAGGCAAAGGAGGCAGUAUCAGUUGUUGAAAAGUGGAAGGAUCGUGAUAUUUUGAAAAGAUUAGAGUGGACAUACAAUCCAGAGGUGGAGAAAAUGAAAUGCAGCCUGGAUGAUAUGGUUGCUGAGGCUAUUAAGGAUGAAGAUAUUAGUGAUACCUGUGAUGAAGUUGAUGAUGCCUAUAGCAAUAAAGAAGAUUCAAAUGCUUGGUGGGAAUUGGAUACUGAUGAUGAAUUCAUAAGUAAACAAUCAGGAAAAUAGUAAGUACUGCAUAUUCGUCUGAUCUUUGACUCGCUGGAGCUCAUGCAAGUUUCUUAAUUCACCAAAUUUUUGGGGGGAGGAAAUGCAAUGCUUUUUUGGAAAACCAAAAAGUAAUGAUGCUUAGGUCAUCAAAUUUGUGAGGAUUUUGGCAACCUACACAACAAGCAUGAGUGUUGUCCUUGAAGACUAAAACGAGCAAGAAUGCUAGCAUGGUGAAGAUGCGUAAAGGCAAAUGCAAGGAUUAUUCUGCAGGAUAUUUAAAGUUAGAACUUUGGUGGCAGUUGUCUAGUGCUAUUGGUAGAUGUUUGUUAUCGUUGUGUAUGUAUAUGUACUUUGAUCAUUUAUAGGACAAAAAGAAAGUUGUUUUGGUCUUAUUUAUAUGCCAGUUCAAUGGUUGUUGUGGUCAUAUGUACCAA